rnacentral:rRNA from 1 species
UACAGAGGUCCCAAGCGUUGUUCGGAAUUACUGGGCGUAAAGGGCGCGUAGGCGGCCAUUCAAGUCAGAGGUGAAAGCCCAAGGCUCAACCUUGGAACUGCCUUUGAUACUGUUUGGCUUGAGACCGGUAGAGGUAAGUGGAACUGCGAGUGUAGAGGUGAAAUUCGUAGAUAUUCGCAAGAACACCAGUGGCGAAGGCGGCUUACUGGACCGGUUCUGACGCUGAGGCGCGAAAGCGUGGGGAGCAAACAGG